CGCGGGAAUUAUACAUGUUCUAAUACGCGUUAGCUCGCUUUCAUUAUGUAACGUCAUAUCCGAAAUCUUUUGGCGGGAAGCUGCUCGCGAGGGUAAAAAAAGGAAUAUCCAAAAUGGCAAAUACCAUGGUAUUUGAGGCAAAUUCACCGGCAGUGGUGAAAAACAGGCAAAUUCGUUUGAAAUGAGGAAAACAUAUUAGAAU
rnacentral:lncRNA from 1 species